UACGAAGGGGACUAGCGUUGUUCGGAAUCACUGGGCGUAAAGCGCACGUAGGCGGAUGUGUCAGUCAGGGGUGAAAUCCCGGGGCUCAACCUCGGAACUGCCUUUGAUACAGCACGUCUCGAGUCCGGAAGAGGUGGGUGGAAUUCCUAGUGUAGAGGUGAAAUUCGUAGAUAUUAGGAAGAACACCGGUGGCGAAGGCGGCUCACUGGCCCGGUACUGACGCUGAGGUGCGAAAGCGUGGGGAGCAAACAGG
rnacentral:rRNA from 1 species